UUCUCUGAUUUUGCUCCUCCAACCCCUUCAUCGCCGGCGUUGGUCCACACCACCACGCCGUUCUCCACGAGCUCAUCGCCGGGCAGCAGUCUUUCCUUCCGCGUGCUCCACCGACGCCCUCUUCUCCCUUCCUCUCUCUUGUGUCUCUGCCCUAGAUCGCCGACGGAGAGGUUUCUUCCACCGCGAUCUCACCUUCACGCGUCGUCGUGGCACCUUGUCUGUGAGAUACCGGCGCCUAUAGCUACCAGCCAUCGACGUCGCCAUUCUUGUUCGUUGCCGCUUCCCAUCUCUAACUCCUUUUCCCAUCUCGAGCCUUAGCUACCAUCACUGGGAUCGAGUUGUGUUCCUUUUCCGAUCUCUAACUCCUUUUCACAUCUCCAUCUCCUUUUCCCAUCCCGUGAUUUCCAGCAGAAGGGUUGCUUCGAUCGCAAACUAAAAGUGGAGUGCAAUGGAAUUGGGUUUGGUAUCAAUAGGAUUGACCUGUUGGAUGUGAGAGUAAUCCAUGGAAACGGGAUCUCACAGCAUUGUGGAAAAUUGAUAUCGAUGGGAAGGUGAAUGGAGCAGUUGAGACAUGCUUUGGGUCUUUUCAUCGUUAUUCACAGCAUAUAAAUUUCUUACACCCUUUAUCAAAGUUAAGUGAAAUUUAGUGGGCAGCUUUUAUUUUGUUAUGUGCAGGAUUCACAAUAGCUCAGCUGAAUUCCAAAUUUUCUCAACAAAAUUGGUUGGCUCAUUAAUCUGUACAAGAGAAGCAAUUUAUCUCAUGAAAUUCGAAGACGGGGAGAGCAAAAAGAAGAAAUUGAAGGCAUGGAUGCUAUUAGCUCGAGGAUGGAGGAACAAAUUAUUGAAAGAGAAAAAAAAAUUGUUAUUACAGAAAGUAGGCAGAGGGAAGAAAAUCUUAAGGAGAUGAUUCGGAAAUGAUUCGAGAAAUGGAAUAUAUAAAUCAUUUAUA